rnacentral:tRNA from 1 species
GCGGGGGUAGUUUAAAAAGAAUGGGGUGUUGAAGCCACCCAGGUGGUUUUUAUAAAAACCUCCCUGCAC